rnacentral:rRNA from 1 species
GAUGAACGCUGGCGGCGUGCCUAAUACAUGCAAGUCGAGCGAACAGAUGAGGAGCUUGCUCCUCUGACGUUAGCGGCGGACGGGUGAGUAACACGUGGAUAACCUACCUAUAAGACUGGGAUAACUUCGGGAAACCGGAGCUAAUACCGGAUAAUAUAUUGAACCGCAUGGUUCAAUAGUGAAAGACGGUUUUGCUGUCACUUAUAGAUGGAUCCGCGCCGCAUUAGCGAGUUGGUAAGGUAACGGCUUACCAAGGCAACGAUGCGUAGCCGACCUGAGAGGGUGAUCGGCCACACUGGAACUGAGACACGGUCCAGACUCCUACGGGAGGCAGCAGUAGGGAAUCUUCCGCAAUGGGCGGAAGCCUGACGGAGCAACGCCGCGUGAGUGAUGAAGAUGUUCGGAUCGUAAAACUCUGUUAUUAGGGAAGAACAAAUGUGUAAGUAACUAUGCACGUCGUGACGGUACCUAAUCAGAAAGCCACGGCUAACUACGUG